rnacentral:rRNA from 1 species
UACGUAGGUGGCAAGCGUUGUCCGGAUUUACUGGGCGUAAAGAGCGCGCAGGCGGUUGUGCAAGUCGCGUGUGAAAGCCCCCGGCUCAACUGGGGAGGGUCACGCGAUACUGAUCGACUCGAAGGCAGGAGAGGGUAGUGGAAUUCCCGGUGUAGUGGUGAAAUGCGUAGAUAUCGGGAGGAACACCAGUGGCGAAGGCGACUACCUGGCCUGUUCUUGACGCUGAGGCGCGAAAGCUAGGGGAGCAAACGGG